GUAGUGAGAUAUUUUCUCUCGAUCAUCUCUCCUUACCUUCUUCCCUAGAUGAACUAGAAGCUAUAAUUGCUUAAUUUCUUAAUUGUGGUCUAUAAAUAACCACCCUAUUAUAUAUUUUUAUAGAUAUAUAAAAGUAGUUAAACAAAAGUAUUAUUAAAAUUUUCUAAAGUUGUCUUCUUUUUUUAAGUUUGAUAUUAAUAUUUAUCUUUAUUUAUAUAAUACUUUAUCAGCAUAAGAUUCUACUGUCUCAAAAUUUGAAGGUUAAGAAAAAAUAUUGGAUCAAAAAGUGUGGAGGCAAGAGCACAAGAACUAUGGGAUCAUCACGAUUUAGAUUUCAUCUUUUACUAUUUAUGAUAAGUAUAUUAUUAACUCAUGUUAUUUAAUUAAGUUUGAAAAGAACAUCGAUAAUCACAAAAUGGUGAUAUUGUUAUAGGCACAGUUUAUUAUACUUUGGCCUAAUAUGUUAUUGACCGUGAUGAUGGAUUUAAGUCUCAUGUCAUUAAGAGGAUAAGAUAUCGGGUUAAAGUCUCGAUGCACCAUGAUGAUAAGAUAUUGGGU
rnacentral:lncRNA from 1 species